rnacentral:rRNA from 1 species
ACUCUAGCGAGACUGCCGUUGACAAAACGGAGGAAGGUGGGGACGACGUCAAAUCAUCAUGCCCCUUAUGUCCUGGGCUACACACGUACUACAAUGGCGGCUCACAAAGGGAAGCAAGAUAGUGAUAUGGAGCAACCCAAAAACCGCCUCAGUUCAGAUUGUAGGCUGCAACCCGCCUACAUGAAGUCGGAAUUGCUAGUAAUCGCGGAUCAGCAUGCCGCGGUGAAUUACCGGUUCCCGGGCCUU